UGAUGGUGAUAUUGUUCAGU
rnacentral:siRNA from 1 species